GCGUUCUUGAUGGCGCACCAGCGGCUCGGUUGCUGGCGCUGUAGAUGCCGGGGAGAAGAGGAUGUUUGUUUGGAGCACGCAGCCAGGAUACUGUAGAGCCACCAUGCCCGGAAUUCAAAGGUCCUGGCGGAUUAGAGCUGCUAUGCUCUGAUUGCUCCCACCUGUCUGCGGAGUUAACCUCCUGCUCCCGCUCGGCGCACUCAGCCGUGCAGAGCCGUCGCCAGGAUUCCAGUGGCUCGUGUCAUCCACGGAUGGCCAGCAGUGUUUUGGUUGUACUGCCGCCGCGGCACUGUCAGCAGAGCUGCCACCCUCGCCACCAGCAGAUGACACCUCAACACACAACACUGACCAGCUCAGUGCAGCCCUGCCACACUCAGUCUGGGCACAGGGAGGCAUUGGUGUGUUGGCCUCACAGGAGUCAGAACCCCAGGAGAAGAAGGGGUGAAGAACGGUAUCUGUUCUGUGUGGCGCUCCAUUGAGAAGGAGCCCCGGGGCUUUUGUGAGGUCAGCACUGAGAGAGGCGACGGUGACAGUGGCACACCGCUCUCCCCGAGCACCGGCACACACCGCUUCUCACCAACUCUUUCACCACACACACACCAGCACAGAACUGACCGAUGGAAAAAUGUGUAGCAUAAAGGUUUAAUUCAGUCUGAAUUUCAAUUAUAUUGGCAAUAAGAUUUUUUAUCAUGACAUUUUAUCAAUAUUAUCAUAUAGACCUAUUUGUUUAUUGGCAGUAUGUUUAAUAAUUCAGUUUUAGUGUACAUAUCAGUAUAUUUGUCCAUUUUGUACAAUGUUGUUAAUUAAUUAUUACAGUAUUAAUCAAAACAUAAUAAUUACAAAUUGUAUUAAUUAGUAGUAAUUCAGCCGGUGGUACAGAACAUAAAUGUGAUUUUAAAUUUAUAUUUAACGGACAUGCAAUUAUAAUUAUUUCUAUAUUUAUAAAACAUUAAUAAAAAGGUCAGUGAAUCAUAUAAGUUAAAUCUGUAAUGGUCAAUGCAAUUCCACAGUAAAACCUGUGAAUAACAGGCACGGUUAUGAAAUCAGCAGAUCCCAUUUUUGAAGGUAUAAUCAUUUCUAUCUGAUAAUGCUGCCUCAUUUCUCCUGCGCCGCGCGCCACGUCUUAAAGAGGUGACAAUCUUGUUAAGAGGAUUUGGAAGCUAAUGUGUCUCUCUCAGCCGGCCAUCCAGAUUUUAUUUAUUUUUUAAUAAUCAAAGGAAGGGAUCUUGAUCGAGGUGUGGUGGGUAUUAAAAGCACUCAUUUUUUGAGGGUGGGUUUAUCUAUAAUCAAUUCUUUCCCCAGGGACAC
ensembl:lncRNA